rnacentral:rRNA from 1 species
CAGACCUCUGCUUCAAUUGGAAAUGAUGUACCAAGCUGGAUACCACAAAUUGGCAUGAAGUUUAGCAGUUUGGAUGAGGCUUGGAUUUUUUGGGAGCAUUAUGGUGGCAGAGUUGGGUUUGGUGUUAGGAAAAGGUACUCAAAUGCGAGCAAAUUUGAUGGAACAAUUACUUCAUGCAGAUUUGUGUGUCGUAAAGAGGGUCGUCGAGGAAAAGACAAAAGAGAUAAGCAUAUUAAGCAACCUCGAGCAGAAAUUAGGACUGGUUGCCAAGCUCGUAUGGGUAUCACAAUAGAUCGGAAAAAUGGUAAUUACGAAGUUUUUGAUCUUGUUCUUGAACACGAUCACAUGUUGCAGUUGCAAGAAACAUGCCACCUCAUGCCCUCACAGCGGAAGAUAACUGAAAUUCAAGCGUUUGAGAUUGAAAUUGCCGAUGAUUCGGGUAUUGGACCAAAAGUUGCACAUGAAUCAGCUUGCCGGCGAGUUGGCGGAUCAUCCAUCCUUGGCUACAUUCAACGGGAUCACAAAAAUUACUUGCAUACUAAGCGCCAAAGGGAACUAAAAUAUGGUGAAGCAGGAAGUAUCUUGAAAUAUUUCCAGGAUAAAAUCCGAGAAAAUCCAUCAUUUCAAUAUGACAUACAACAUGAUUGUGAAGAACAGAUCACAAAUAUAUUCUGGGCUGAUGCAAGAAUGAUAAUUGACUAUGCUCAUUUCGGUGACGUUGUAACUUUUGACACCACAUUUGGAACAAACAAGGAGCAUCGGCCAUUUGGCGUAUUUGUUGGGUUCAAUCAUUUCAGAGAAACUGUUAUUUUUGGUGCUUGUCUUCUGUAUGAUGAAACAUUUGAAUCUUUUAGAUGGCUUUUUGAAACUUUUCUGUCAAUACACAAUCAGAAGCAGCCCAAGAACAUAUAUAGCGAUCAAGACACUGCAAUGGGAAAUGCAGUGGAGAGUGUGUUUUCAGCAGCACGACAU